rnacentral:rRNA from 1 species
UACGUAGGGUGCGAGCGUUGUCCGGAAUUAUUGGGCGUAAAGAGCUCGUAGGCGGUGUGUCGCGUCGGCCGUGAAAACCUGGGGCUCAACUCUGGGCGUGCGGUCGAUACGGGCAUCACUUGAGUUCGGCAGGGGAGACUGGGAAUUCCUGGUGUAGCGGUGAAAUGCGCAGAUAUCAGGAGGAACACCGGUGGCGAAGGCGGGUCUCUGGGCCGAUACUGACGCUGAGGAGCGAAAGCAUGGGUAGCGAACAGG